CCUGGAGCUCACUAUGUAGACCAGGCUGGCCUUAAAAUUACAGAGAUCUGCCUGCCUCUGCUUCCAGACUACUGGGAU
rnacentral:miRNA from 14 species